AUUGAACGCUGGCGGCAUGCCUUACACAUGCAAGUCGAACGGUAACGGGCCUUCGGGUGCCGACGCGUGGCGAACGGGUGAGUAAUACAUCGGAACGAGCCCGAUCGUGGGGGAUAACGAGGCGAAAGCUUUGCUAAUACCCCAUACGAUCUACGGACGAAAGCAGGGGACCGCAAGGCCUUGCGCGGACGGAGCGGCCGAUGGCAGGUUAGGUAGUUGGUGGGAUAAAAGCUUACCAAGCCGACGAUCUGUAGCUGGUCUGAGAGGAUGAUCAGCCACACUGGGACUGAGACACGGCCCAGACUCCUACGGGAGGCAGCAGUGGGGAAUUUUGGACAAUGGGCGCAAGCCUGAUCCAGCCAUGCCGCGUGCAGGAUGAAGGCCUUCGGGUUGUAAACUGCUUUUGUACGGAACGAAAAGCCUUCUUUUAAUACAGGAGGGUCAUGACGGUACCGUAAGAAUAAGCACCGGCUAACUACGUG
rnacentral:rRNA from 1 species